AUAUUUACAUGGCAGAGGAGAUUCCAGGGUCAUGAAGGUGGUUUUCCCAGGGAGAAGUUUAUCCAUUGCACUCCAGUUAUGCUGAACCCCGUAUUUCCCCAAAUGUGGGAAAUUCAACUGUCUAAGUUGUUGUAGUGAGGGGUACAUUUAUGCUCUCCUCU